GGAGAUUCAUAGCUCAGUGCCAGUGCAUCUGAUUUGCAUGCAGAAGGUGCUAGGUUCAAUCCCUGGGAUCUCCA